UUGCCCACCUACGCCAUGGCGGCGAUGGAGCUCCCUCCGUUGGUUCUCUGUGCAAUCAACGCCCUGCGUCGCUCCUUUGGACCGCGUCGGACAAGGCGUCGGGAGCCCAAUGCCUGGUGGCCUGGGAUAGGAUGGUCCGCUCCAAGGAGGAAGGCGGGCUCGGGGUGCGUGCACUGCCAGUCCAAAACCGCUGCCUCCUGAUGAAGCUGCUACAUCGCCUACACUCACGUCAGGACGCGUCCUGGGCCCGCUGGGUGUGGACUGAGCUCGGACGCUCACUGCUAACCCUGGUGGCGGCGUCCUCUCUCCCAGGCCCUCACUGGUCCUCUCUGGACCAGCUCAUGCUGGUGUACAGAGCGAUCUUCCGCGUCUCCAUCGGCGACGGGUGCACCACCGCGUUCUGGCUGAACUCGUGGCCGCCCGGCGGUGCUCUGUCUGUGCAGAUGAGCUCGCUCUUCUCCCACACCACCAUGCCCGCGGUUUCCGUCACCCGUCAUCGCAUUUGGCUCUAUGGCGUGUUUGUACCCCGUUUGAACCACGCCGGCGCCCGGGAGCGCGGCGCCCUGCUGCCCAUCCUUCAGGAGGUGGGCCUGUCGGUGGCCCCCGACGAGCGGACCCUUUGCCAUGGCUGCGCGAAGGACGCACUGCUCUCCUCGGCCGGCGUCUACAGCUCAGUCACCUUGGUGGCGUGCAGGUGCCCUUCGUCGACUUCGUGUGGAAGAACUACGCCCCCAGCCGGGUCCGUUUCUUUGCCUGGCUCCUGGUUCAGGCUCAGAUACACACGAGAGACGUGCUCCUGCGGAAGCACAUCAUCGCAUCGGCAGGCGCUGGCUGACCCCUCUGCACUUCGCCCCUCGAGACGGCUGAUCCUCUCAUCUUCAGCUGCCCCUUUUGCUCGUCGGUUCUGGGAAUUUGUAGGUCUGAAUCAACGGGAUGUUGCCUCCGUCAGGUCACUCCACCUGCUGUCUCCCCCAUGCUCGGUGCCAACGCGAACAGGCCCCACCUUUCUGCUACUUUGCUGCUGGCAAUUGUGGAAGCGCCACAACGCGGUUGUCUUCCAGGGUGUGCCGCCAUCGAUCCUCCGUCUGCUGAAACUCUGCAGGGAAGACGCCGUGCUGUGGAGGGCAGCUUGUAUACCACAUGUUCUUACAUCGAACGAUGUAAUUGUUGCGGCAGAGACUGGCAGUGGCAAAACACAUGGUUACCUGGUUCCACUGAUUGAAAAACUGUGCACCAAAUCUUCCUCCACAGAAGAUGGUCAUUCUGAAAACAUUGCUGCGAGAACAGAUAACAUAGUGUUGGUUUUCUGUCCUAAUGUCAUGCUGUGUGAGCAAGUUGUUUCAAUGGCUAAUUCAUUACUUGAUGUAUCUGGUGAACCACUUAAGCGUGCUGCUGCAGUUUGUGGGCCAAAGGGUUGGCCAGCAGUUCGCCCAGAUAUUCUUGUAGCCACUCCAGCCGCUCUUUUGAAUUAUCUAUUCGAUUAUGACCCAGAGAGGAGGCGGAGGGAGAAGUUCCUACGCAGUGUAAAAUACAUCGUAUUUGAUGAGGCAGACAUGCUACUUUGCGGAAGUUUUGAAAAUCAGAUCAUUCGUCUCAUCCACAUGCUGCGGUUUGAUGAGAAGUUACUUUCAAGGGCGGAAGAUUCUGGAAAAGAAGUAGCGCUCGAAGGUUCUGAUGAAUAUCAUGAGGAUUCGGGUUCUGAGAGUGCUGAAAUUAGUGAUAUUGAUGAUGAAAAUGAAGAUGGUCAUAUUCAAGAUGGAGCAGUCAAGGUUGAGAAUGCUCAUGUAGGAGCACGCAGGGAUUGGAGAAGGGUUAGAAAAGUUUAUAGGCGCAGCAAGCAAUAUGUCUUUGUUGCUGCCACCCUCCCUCAGAGUGGAAAAAAAACUGCUGGUGGUGUGCUGAAACGUAUGUUUCCUAGUGCUGUGUGGGUUAGUGGUGCUUAUCUGCACCGUCACAACCCUAGACUGGAGAGAAGAUGGAUAGAGGUUACUACUGAUACACAAGUUGAUGCGCUUCUGGAUGCAGUAAAGUAUGGCCUGAAGAGUGAAGUUGACCCAGAACUUGGUCCAAAUCGAACUAUGGUGUUCACGAACACCGUCGACGCUGCUAAUUCAGUCUCUGACAUAUUGCGGAGAGUUGGUAUUCCAUGCAUCUUGUACCACCGUGAGAGCUCCCUGGAGGAAAGGACAGCCAAUUUACAAUCUUUCCGGGAGAAUGGUGGCGUGCUCGUCUGUACUGAUGCUGCCGCUCGUGGGCUUGAUGUGCCAAAUGUUUCCCAUGUUAUUCAGGCCGAGUUUGCUGCUUGCGCUGUGGACUUUUUGCACAGGGUGGGUCGCACAGCUAGAGCUGGCCAAUCUGGAAUAGUGACUAGCCUAUAUACAGAUGCAAACUGUGAUCUCGUGAGAGCAGUUCGUCAAGCGGAGGAGCUGGCCCAGCCAGUGGAGAGGGCGUUCAGUAGAAAAAGAAGUUUCCGCAACAAGUUGAAGAAACAAGCUCGACUGCGUGAACCUGCAACGUUGCUGUCUUGAUUUAUGACUUUUGUCGCCUUUGAUGUGUAGAAACAAGGAGUUACUCACAGUCUUAUGUUUUUCUAGUGGCCUAGUUCUGCCAUUUCAUUUUGUACUGUUAUAAGAUUCAGAGACAUGUUCAAAGAAUGAAAUCAUGUAUGUUUCUUCA